rnacentral:rRNA from 1 species
GAUGAACGCUGGCGGCGUGCCUAACACAUGCAAGUCGAGCGAAGCACUUACUUUAGAUUUCUUCGGAAUGACGAAGUUUGUGACUGAGCGGCGGACGGGUGAGUAACGCGUGGGCAACCUGCCCUGUACAGGGGGAUAACAGUUAGAAAUGACUGCUAAUACCGCAUAAGCCCACAGCUUCGCAUGAAGCAGUGGGAAAAACUCCGGUGGUACAGGAUGGGCCCGCGUCUGAUUAGCUAGUUGGUAAGGUAACGGCUUACCAAGGCGACGAUCAGUAGCCGACCUGAGAGGGUGACCGGCCACAUUGGGACUGAGACACGGCCCAAACUCCUACGGGAGGCAGCAGUGGGGAAUAUUGCACAAUGGGGGAAACCCUGAUGCAGCGACGCCGCGUGAGCGAUGAAGUAUUUCGGUAUGUAAAGCUCUAUCAGCAGGGAAGAAAGGGACGGUACCUGACUAAGAAGCCCCGGCUAACUACGU